rnacentral:rRNA from 1 species
GAGCGAACAGAUAAGGAGCUUGCUCCUUUGACGUUAGCGGCGGACGGGUGAGUAACACGUGGGUAACCUACCUAUAAGACUGGGAUAACUUCGGGAAACCGGAGCUAAUACCGGAUAACAUUUGGAACCGCAUGGUUCUAAAGUGAAAGAUGGUUUUGCUAUCACUUAUAGAUGGACCCGCGCCGUAUUAGCUAGUUGGUAAGGUAACGGCUUACCAAGGCGACGAUACGUAGCCGACCUGAGAGGGUGAUCGGCCACACUGGAACUGAGACACGGUCCAGACUCCUACGGGAGGCAGCAGUAGGGAAUCUUCCGCAAUGGGCGAAAGCCUGACGGAGCAACGCCGCGUGAGUGAUGAAGGGUUUCGGCUCGUAAAACUCUGUUAUUAGGGAAGAACAAAUGUGUAAGUAACUGUGCACAUCUUGACGGUACCUAAUCAGAAAGCCACGGCUAACUACGUGCCAGCAGCCGCGGUAAUACGUAGGUGGCAAGCGUUAUCCGGAAUUAUUGGGCGUAAAGCGCGCGUAGGCGGUUUCUUAAGUCUGAUGUGAAAGCCCACGGCUCAACCGUGGAGGGUCAUUGGAAACUGGGAAACUUGAGUGCAGAAGAGGAAAGUGGAAUUCCAUGUGUAGCGGUGAAAUGCGCAGAGAUAUGGAGGAACACCAGUGGCGAAGGCGACUUUCUGGUCUGUAACUGACGCUGAUGUGCGAAAGCGUGGGGAUCAAACAGGAUUAGAUACCCUGGUAGUCCACGCCGUAAACGAUGAGUGCUAAGUGUUAGGGGGUUUCCGCCCCUUAGUGCUGCAGCUAACGCAUUAAGCACUCCGCCUGGGGAGUACGACCGCAAGGUUGAAACUCAAAGGAAUUGACGGGGACCCGCACAAGCGGUGGAGCAUGUGGUUUAAUUCGAAGCAACGCGAAGAACCUUACCAAAUCUUGACAUCCUUUGAAAACUCUAGAGAUAGAGCCUUCCCCUUCGGGGGACAAAGUGACAGGUGGUGCAUGGUUGUCGUCAGCUCGUGUCGUGAGAUGUUGGGUUAAGUCCCGCAACGAGCGCAACCCUUAAGCUUAGUUGCCAUCAUUAAGUUGGGCACUCUAGGUUGACUGCCGGUGACAAACCGGAGGAAGGUGGGGAUGACGUCAAAUCAUCAUGCCCCUUAUGAUUUGGGCUACACACGUGCUACAAUGGACAAUACAAAGGGCAGCUAAACCGCGAGGUCAUGCAAAUCCCAUAAAGUUGUUCUCAGUUCGGAUUGUAGUCUGCAACUCGACUACAUGAAGCUGGAAUCGCUAGUAAUCGUAGAUCAGCAUGCUACGGUGAAUACGUUCCCGGGUCUUGUACACACCGCCCGUCACACCACGAGAGUUUGUAACACCCGAAGCCGGUGGAGUAACCAUUUAUGGAGC